rnacentral:rRNA from 1 species
CUACGGGAGGCUGCAGUGGGGAAUAUUGCACAAUGGGCGCAAGCCUGAUGCAGCCAUGCCGCGUGUAUGAAGAAGGCCUUCGGGUUGUAAGGUACUUUCAGCGGGGAGGAAGGGAGUAAAGUUAAUACCUUUGCUCAUUGACGUUACCCGCAGAAGAAGCACCGGCUAACUCCGUGCCAGCAGCCGCGGUAAUACGGAUGGUGCAAGCGUUAAUCGGAAUUACUGGGCGUAAAGCGCACGCAGGCGGUUUGUUAAGUCAGAUGUGAAAUCCCCGGGCUCAACCUGGGAACUGCAUCUGAUACUGGCAAGCUUGAGUCUCGUAGAGGGGGGUAGAAUUCCAGGUGUAGCGGUGAAAUGCGUAGAGAUCUGGAGGAAUACCGGUGGCGAAGGCGGCCCCCUGGACGAAGACUGACGCUCAGGUGCGAAAGCGUGGGGAGCAAACAGGAUUAGAUACCCGAGUAGUC